GAGGGUGAAAGGUUACUCCGAGGAGUCUAGCAUCGUGGUUUGAAUCAAAAUUUCUGUCGAGCAGAGAUGGGAAUGUUAAUCAAAGAAAUUUUCGGGGUUCAAAGGAAAAACAAGAAAGAGUAAUCCCCAGCUAAGUGCGAAGUGUUCGUUGGCUAGGGUUGAAUAGAGAGUAGCCAGUUCGUGACUUGCUAUUCCCAGCAUGGGUCUUUGGCAU
rnacentral:lncRNA from 1 species